rnacentral:snRNA from 1 species
UUGCUCCCUUGGGCAGCACAUAUACUAACAUCGGAAUGAUACAGAGAAGAUUCACUUGGCCCCUGCACUAGGAUGACACACAAAUUCGGGAAGUGUUUCAUAUUUCC